GCGAAAAAAAAUGUGACUCAGAUAAAAAAAAUAACCCUCCCCCUUUUUUUAAGUUAAGUGGUUGCUACUCUAUGAAAGCCAUUUUUAUAAUUUGCAGUAGUUUGAAUAUACUAGAGAUGUCUCGAUUACGCAUUAGAAAACGUUAGCUGCAGCAGCGUGUUUACAGCCGAAAAAAGGAUUGAGAUAUUAGGGAUCACUACAUUUUUAUCUUUUCUGUUUGUUUUCAAAUGGUAUUUCUUCUCCAAGGAGUAUUUGGUAAAGGAAUAGGGUAACGUUUUUUUU
rnacentral:lncRNA from 1 species